rnacentral:tRNA from 1 species
GUUUAGGUAGCUUAAGUUUAAAAGCUUAGUAUUGAAGUUACUAUAAUAGGUUUUACCUCCUAAAUA